GAGGGACGAGCCGCCCGCUGAUUGGGCGGCGCGGGCCGGCAGGUGCGCUGCCAUUGGAAGAGGGGCGCACAGGUAAAGGCCGCCGCCGCGCUGCAGCUUCCUCCAGGAGCUGGAGUGGUGGUGAAUUUCUGCAAGUGCAAGACAAUCCACAGCAACAGCAUCAAUGUAGAAGACCCAGUGAAGCUUCUGAAUUCAUAGAAGUGUAUGGGUGAGCGCAGCUAUCUGAUCAAGAAGGCUAUCGUCUCUGACAGCUGGGAGACUCGACACAACACCUAGGGUGAAGCUAUGAUGAGACUGAAUCAUGUUGUUGAAUCAGAAGUGUCAUCAGAUCGUAUCAUGCGCUGUGAGAAUAUGCAGGUAUCACGGUCCCCGCCCCAAAGUACUUAAGAGUCCAAGACAGAGAGCUUGUAAGGAGGAGGGUCACAGUAAAGUAGGGACAUCUGUGCUAUUUUGAAUGGUGUGAUUUAUAGCUGUAUUUUUUCAAUAAAGCCCAUUUUUUAUGUUAUUGCAUUUUGAUGUAGAAGCAUAUGAAAUCUUACAGGUGUUACAGUAAGAGCAGGCUGCCUUUCCAUGUAUGCUUCUGUGCAGUUAGCCAGGAGGAUUGAGCUUUAUGAUGGAGCAGUCUGGUCUGAGCUGCUUUCCCUCACUGGCCUGUUCAGAAAGCACUAAGGGGGGGCAAAACCAGCCAUCUUUACAGCCUUGCUGGGCGACAGUAACAGGCUGCUGUGUGCAGAGACCCUCCUGCUCUACAGGAGCUGAUCCUGUUACGCUCAGCAGAGCAAGUCUGAACGGGGUGAAAUGAAGAGGAAAUGCCAGUUCCAGCCCUCCCAGAUGGUUCCAGGCUACUUUGUACACUAACUUUUUCAGCCUCAGGAGGUUUUGCAUAUUAAUUCCUCACCAUCCACAAACUGCUUUUGGAUCAGCGCUGCGCUGCUGAGAUCUUGGAAAGCCACCCCACUCGUGUGAUUUGGGAGACAUGAGCUGCACUGUGUUUAUUGGGCUGCCUGCUCUGCUCUCCUGUUUCGGUAAUCCUCUGCUCUCCUGCAGGUAUUAACAUGUACAAGAAAGCUUCGUCACAAUAAACAAUAGCCAAACAUGCCAUUUUUUUCCGUCCGUCAAAGAUAUCAUCGUACUUUUAAAUCAGUCCUAGCAAAAAUCAUCAUUGGGGCUGCAGAAAGGUCAAAGGUUUGCUGGUUUAGGAUUUCGUGGGAAUAUACACUUGUUUGGACUUGGCCCAAGAGCUUCGUUUACCUGUUUGACAGGUAACAAUUAGCAAGUAAUAGCUCUGCUGGCUGGAAUGCGGCUGCGAGGGCCAGCGGGCGCUGGGUUACCUGGUGGGCAGGUGUGGGUGCAGCACCCUGAUAGGUAUGUGCAUGCACAGCAUUCCUGGGAAUCAGUUUUCCCUUAAAGAUGCAGCGAUGACUGCAGGGCACAAAAGGGCUGGGCUUAGCCCAGGCUCCAAGACGUUGAGCUGUUUGCAAGGUAAAGAAGUAAAGUAAAUAGUGGAAGAGAAGAGGAGCUGAGGAAAGGGCUGUGAGAAACAGCUGCCCCUUUUUUCCCUUGUCCAGAGAGAAUUUUUAUUCUUCCCUGAGAAUCUCAGUAACGGAGAAUUCAGUGUGAUUACAGUGUCAUGGGAGAUAAAAAAGAAGGGAAAAGUUGAAAUAGGGUGGAGUUGAUUUGAGGAGAAGUGCGCGUCUGUCUAAAAGUUAUGCGGACAGGUGGCCAGCAUGGCUCAGGAACGGUCCGUAAGGAUUUUGUGUGCAUUGCUCCCCAGCGGCAGCCCAGCACAGGCACAGCAAUAUAUAGUGGAGCUGAGAAGCUCACUGGGCACGGUAUAAAUGUGAAGUGGGGAAUCCCUAUAUCAAUUAGUUUAGAAACGGUUAAACAGCUUAUGUGCAGUUACUCUCAACUCUGCCAUUAGCAAGAAUCCAAGCCUCAUGAGUUCAUUGAAUAAACCCACUUUAUCUGUGGCAAAUGGCCCCAUUUCCAGCUCCUGCAGCAGUUGGAGAAGAUUCCUGCACCAGCCCCUCCCAACCUCGAUUUCCUAGAGGGAAUCUGGUAUAAAUUAUGUAGACAGUCAGGGACUUUGCAGGUGUUUUUAAGAUGUUUGACUUUUUUUUCUUUAACCACAGCAGGCGACCCUUCUGUUUUAGGAACAGAAGGGUUUGGUCAUUCUUUUCAUAUUUUAUUCCUAUUUGUGAACAGGCUUCUGUGUUUGUGUAUUUCACUUAUGCGUUUCAUACUUGACAAUUGAGCUAUUGUGUGACUUUGGAGAAGCCACAUCCUCUUUCCUGGGCUCUGUAUUUUCAGCUGCAGAGUUGGAGUAGCAAG